CGUGCUUUGUCGAGUUGCCGGUAUUGGCAUUAUUUCUUUCUCUUUUGUUUCUUUUGGCUUGUUGUGCUCCUCGACACAUCGUUUGCUCUAUAAUCAGUGUUGGUUGCUUUGUAAUACAACGCGAGGGAAAACCCUUUUUCGGUAAAAGGGCAAUGUUCAUACGUUGGGAGGAGAUGACCCCAAGGCCACCAUGGUCCUCGGGUUUACAGAUCUCCGUGCAUUUAACCAUAUGGUAUUUGGUUAACUGGAUUCAUGCCACUAUAACAUUCAUGCCACUAUAACUUUCACGAGUUGGACAAAUGCCAUUACAAAAAUUAAAAUUGAAAACAUGCCACUACAACUUUUACAUACUUCUACAUAUGCCAUUUUCAACAAUACCCAGCCAUAUACUACCCAUAUAUGCUUGUAAAUACCUUUAUAUGUCCAGAGCUCCGAGUACUUGUCGCCUCUAUCCGCCAGGUGUCGACAUCGUGCUGCCUGUCCGCUCCCCAUCGUUGGCCCCGACCUACUUGAGCUCCAGCUGCAUCUCCUCCCCAUAGAAGCUCCGACCCCGACGAGCUUGCCGUCUCUUCCCGUCGCGUUCGUGGUCCCCGACGAGCUUGCCACCAUGGUGCCGCACUCCACCACCUGGGAGGAGCUCGUUCACCAUGUUGCAUCCGCCUCUUGGCUGCGCCCAAGUCCCCAGCCCCGUCGCGUUCUUCGCACCUCUACGACCUCCAGCCGUUGAAGCUCGCAUGCGUGUGUUAUGUUUCCGGUCGGCGGCAGAAUUGAUUGGCCAAGGCUGAUGUGUAUACGUGUGAAGGACAAAAUCAAUUUGUGUAUGUGCGCAUCUUGCCGAUGCUAGCUGCUUCCAGGUUUGAUCAGGAGCGGAACGACAGAAGUCAGCUUGCUAGUUGUGUACUCCGGAAGUACUCGAUGGAGUGACAUAAAUCUAAUUUUUCAAUGUAAUAGUUGAAUGAGCACAUGGAUAGUAUGCCCAGUAUUGAAAUACACGUUAAAAUACAAGUCUUUUCUAAGGUGUUUAUCUAUUAAGUAAAGAAAAUGGCAUAUGCAGAGCUAUGAAAAAGUUGUGGUGGCAUAUUUCCAACUUCAGUUUUUGUAAUGGCAUUUUUCCAUGUCCU
rnacentral:lncRNA from 1 species